rnacentral:rRNA from 1 species
GACGAACGCUGGCGGCAUGCCUAACACAUGCAAGUCGAACGGAACUUGUUGAAUGAAGUUUUCGGAUGGAUUUUGACAAGUUUAGUGGCGGACGGGUGAGUAACGCGUGAGCAACCUGCCUUUCAGAGGGGGACAACAGUUGGAAACGACUGCUAAUACCGCAUGAUGUGUCGGGAUCGCAUGAUCUUGACACCAAAGAUUUUAUCGCUGAAAGAUGGGCUCGCGUACGAUUAGAUAGUUGGUGAGGUAACGGCUCACCAAGUCGACGAUCGUUAGCCGGACUGAGAGGUUGAACGGCCACAUUGGGACUGAGACACGGCCCAGACUCCUACGGGAGCAGCAGUGAGGAAUAUUGCACAAUGGGCGAAAGCCUGAUGCAGCAACGCCGCGUGAGCGAUGAAGGCCUUCGGGUCGUAAAGGCUCUUUUAGCAGGACGAAGAACGUGACGGUACCUGCNGAAAAGCAACGGCUAACUACGU